AAACCCGAUAGAGAAGGAAUGGCAAUGGAUAUCUCUCUGACAAGCUUUGUCCUACCUAAACGUGCUUGCUUCCAUUUUCACGUCAAGGAACGGCCGGAUAUUUUCAAUCAGAUGCUCUUCUUCUCCUUCUCUCCCCAUGGACGGUUCAUCUGUUGGGUUGGCUGAAAAGCCAUGGAAGACAGCUGAUGCGAGGCUUGUUCUUGAAGAUGGUAAAGGAACCCAAGUUGGUGAAGUAGUAUUCAAUACUUCCUUAACAGGAUAAUGAAGAGUCGAGCAAGUGCUUCCUUGGAGGAGGCUUAGUAAUAAGAAGUUGUUUAAGUAUCAGUACUUCAAACUGGAGAUGUAUGAAACCCCAACCUCUAGGUGAUUACUUGGCCGCGAGGAACAUUAUGGGAAGAAUUCACGACGUUGAUACACCACGUGCCAUAACAAGUAGACUGAGACAAGAUGGAAGUCUUAUAGGCGUGUUAAGCACUGAAAAUGAUAAAUCAGACUAGCAACUUUUGGAGAUGUCUCAGAAUUGGAAUAUAGUAGGGACCUCAAUGAUAGGAAAAAUACUUAUGGAUAUGAAAGGAUA